GUCAUUGGAAAUCCGAGGUAUGCGAAGGCAAACAAUCGCGAAAUGCCAAAUUGUACAUUCCAUGAAGACGAGGAGACCAGUUACAUUGACUUUUUGGAUUUCAACAGGCUGUAUACCUCUACGAUGACCUCGGCACGACUCCCAUAGUACGGAUUUUGUUUUCUAUCCUGGUACGCAAUCGAGAGAUUCGAUUUUGAGCAGAAACCUGAGGAUAAUGACCAUGGAUUUAUCCAGGAGGUUGAUCUUUGCUAUCCACCGGAACUGCAUGAUGAUCACGACGAUUUCCCACUAGCUCCGGAGAGAAUAACAAUAGGUAAAGAAGACUUAUCAGAUUUCACUGUUCGAACGGCAGAAUCGUGUGGCGUCAAUACAGACAAUAUGAUCCUGGAUAAACGCCUGUGCUUGACGCUCAAAGACAAAAAAGUAUACGGUACACUACAGAAACCUGCAGUUUUACACAAAACACGGUUUGCAGGUGACCAAGAUACAUCGUGUACUGACGUUCACACAGAUCCCACUAUUAAAGUCUUUUAUGGUCCACUGUGCAGAUCAGCGAAGAACAGCAAAGUCUCCUUUCUACAAGACCCUGUGGAAGAGUAUUGCUAAUUUAGUUUCUGGUAAAAGCUAUGAAAAUCCUAGAAAUUACAAAAACGUGCGUAUUUGCACCAACGAACAAAGUCUGAUGCGCCUCGUAUCAAAGCCAACUUUCGACUGUCUGCGCGUGUUGACUCAAAACCUGACUGCUGUUCAAAUGCAUAGGCCAGUGGUUGUGAUUAAUAGACCAAUCGCCAUUGGAUUUACUAUACUGGAACUAUCAAAACUGACGGUGUACUCGUUCUAUUAUGACUUUGUAAAACCUAAACUUUGCAAGGAUUGAAGAGUCACUUUUUGGUAGGAGACACCGACAGUCUUGUAUUAAAGAUUUCAGGAGUCCCCGACCUUAGAGAUAGGUACCUUAAGUACAAGAACAUGUUUGACCUGUCCAACUUGCCCGAUGACCAUCCUUUAGGUGAUGAUGAAAACAAGUUGGUCCCCGUAAAGGUUAAGUUCGAACAGCCAGGACAGGUUGGGAUAGAAUUAGUGGCUCUGUCCCCGAAAUACUAUUCCUUUAAGACUGAUCAAGGGUUCAGACAAACCAUAAAGGGUGCUCGAGAGAGUUAAAACAUGACUUGUACAAACAGUGCCUCUUAGGUGGUACCUGUCAUACCGAAACAUUAAGGAAGUGAGAAACUACGACCAGAACCUGUACCAGGUGUCUGUAAGCAAACGGGUCCUUAGCAUAUUGGACUACAAAAGAUACCAUUUUGACAAUCUGACUUCGGUCAGCUUUGGACAUCAUUGUCUUAACGAUCGGAUUUAAAAUGGCGCCAAAUUAGUGGCAAAUUAAAGUGUAAAUAAAGCGCAUAUUGAUCUAUUAUUCAAGUUAAUAAGUUUAAUGGGAACAUAGUCACGGACAUGACAGUAUUUUAAUUAUGUGAAUCGCAUUUUAUAUUAUGUCUGUAAAUUUCAAAUUGUAUAUUAUUAUCUAUUAUUAUUAUUAUUAUUAUUGCUGUUAUUAUUACCACUGUUAUUAUUUUUAAUGCAUACAAAGAAUAACAAACGAUUUGUAUCUUGAUGACUUUUCUAUGCUGAGUCACGGACAUGACAGUAUUAUAAUUAUGUAAAUCGCAUUUUAUAUUAUGUCUGUAAAUUGCACAUUGUACAUUAUUAUUAUUGCUGUUAUUAUUAU